rnacentral:rRNA from 1 species
GACGUAGGGCGCGAGCGUUGUCCGGAUUUAUUGGGCGUAAAGAGCUCGUAGGCGGCUUGUCGCGUCGUCCGUGAAAACCUGCAGCUCAACUGCAGGCUUGCGGUCGAUACGGGCAGGCUAGAGUUCGGUAGGGGAGACUGGAAUUCCUGGUGUAGCGGUGGAAUGCGCAGAUAUCAGGAGGAACACCGGUGGCGAAGGCGGGUCUCUGGGCCACUACUGACGCUGAGAAGCGAAAGCAUGGGGAGCGAACAGG